rnacentral:lncRNA from 1 species
AAACAAAAAGCAAACGGCUCGAGCACCUUUGAGCGUCGUAUGAACGUGUACUCGGCAUCUGAUCGGGUAAUGCUGAACCUUUGGGAUGGAAUGAAUAUAACAAAAAGGAUCUCCGGAGUUCCACCAUGUGGAGCUGCGUUGAUCAUUGAGCUGCAUGAAAUCGACUCUGAAUACCGAAUCAAAAUCUUGUACAAAAAUGGAGAUUUAAAUGAAAAUUUGGAAGUAUUAAAAAUAGGCAGUUGUCAACGUACUCAGAUUUCAUCAAAAGACGAAAUGUGCGACCUCAAAGAGAUUUCGGAAGCUCUAGAACCUGCCAUCAUCACUGACUUCGAUGAGGCUUGUGAGAACUCAAAAUAGCAAAUAUAUGUAUAUAAGUCGCUUUUAUGAUAAAACGUGGCAAAUAUUUCAACCUUUACCUUUUUACCUUUUUUACCUUUUUCAAGCGAUGGCAUCGAUAUUAAUCUCAAUGAGCUGUAGUUAUGUGUUGAAAGAAACUUCACAAAAAUGAGUAAAGGAGAAAAAAAUCAAGAAGCACGCAAUCUUUUGUUUUGACCCAUUUAUGCAUCGAUCUUUUAGAGUCAAAUACGUCCAAUUUCAAGCGUUUGGUUGCGCGUACACCACGCUGCAGCACAGUAAAAGCACAAAAUAUAAAAGAAAAAUUCAAGUGCCUUGAAAAUCAUUAAAUUUGACGUGGAACCUCUCUAAUAUUUACAAGAUACGCAUUAUAUUCUCCUUCAAUACAUAUUUUUCCCCAUAAAUUUAAAUGAGAAUAACCCAUCCAGAGUGUGCAAAAAUUUCAGAAUCACGAGUUGAAAAACACUGACUUAGCGAGUUUAAAUAUUAGAGCCCAACACAGAGCGGCGCAGGGCGCUGCCAGCAAGAAACGAGCACUGGCGCCUACAAACCUAACAGGGAUACUUCACGCAUUGCGCCAUGCGUGAAGUAUCCCUGUUAGGUUUGUAGGCGCCAAUGCGCGUGUCGCGCUGGUCGCCCUCGCCCGCCGCGCCACGGCGCGGCGCGCGGCGCAUCAAGCAACUGUUUCACAACAGAGGUGUUGCAUAAUAUCAUACGAAAUUGAAGACGCUCUAACAUAUUAAGAAUGACAGGCAUCCUGUUAGAGCACGGAGCUUUCCUCGCAAAAUAAAUC